AUGAACGCUGGCGGCGUGCCUAAUACAUGCAAGUCGAGCGAACAGAUGAGGAGCUUGCUCCUCUGACGUUAGCGGCGGACGGGUGAGUAACACGUGGAUAACCUACCUAUAAGACUGGGAUAACUUCGGGAAACCGGAGCUAAUACCGGAUAAUAUAUUGAACCGCAUGGUUCAAUAGUGAAAGACGGUUUUGCUGUCACUUAUAGAUGGAUCCGCGCCGCAUUAGCUAGUUGGUAAGGUAACGGCUUACCAAGGCAACGAUGCGUAGCCGACCUGAGAGGGUGAUCGGCCACACUGGAACUGAGACACGGUCCAGACUCCUACGGGAGGCAGCAGUAGGGAAUCUUCCGCAAUGGGCGAAAGCCUGACGGAGCAACGCCGCGUGAGUGAUGAAGGUCUUCGGAUCGUAAAACUCUGGUAUUAGGGAAGAACAAAUGUGUAAGUAACUAUGCACGUCUUGACGGUACCUAAUCAGAAAGCCACGGCUAACUACGUG
rnacentral:rRNA from 1 species